rnacentral:rRNA from 1 species
AUUGAACGCUGGCGGCAUGCCUUACACAUGCAAGUCAAACGGCAGCACGGGUGCUUGCACCUGGUGGCGAGUGGCGAACGGGUGAGUAAUACAUCGGAACGUACCUUAUCGUGGGGGAUAACGCAGCGAAAGCUGUGCUAAUACCGUAUACGCCCUGAGGGGGAAAGCGGGGGAUCGCAAGACCUCGCGCGAUUAGAGCGGCCGAUGCCUGAUUAGCUUGUUGGUGGGGUAAAAGCCCACCAAGGCGACGAUCAGUAGCUGGUCUGGGAGGACGAUCGGCCACACUGGGGCUGAGACACGGCCCAGGCUCCUACGGGAGGCAGCAGUGGGGAAUUUUGGACAAUGGGGGCAACCCUGAUCCAGCAAUGCCGCGUGAGUGAAGAAGGCCUUCGGGUUGUAAAGCUCUUUUGUCAGGGAAGAAACACCGGCUCUAACACAGUCCGGGAAUGACGGUACCUGAAGAAUAAGCACCGGCUAACUACGUGCCAGCCGCCGCCGUAA